UUACACUUAUGAAUUUAUUGAGAAAUAGCUAUUAAUGAAGCUAUUUGAAUAAGAAAGAUUAUUCAAGCUAAGGAAAGUAGGGCAAUCACAAAUAGUAUCACCAUGUUUUUUUUAACUUUUAACUUUUUUUUUUUUUGCCCUUAUUCCCUUUAACUUCUGUCAAGUGCCUCUUCUCCUAAGAGAACAGAGCUAAUUCAUUCCUCAAUAUGCUCUUUAACAGCAGUACUACUACCUCUGCUACUGCUUUCCUGAAGUGAGGAUUCAGGUUUUGUCUCUGGUGAAUUAUUGAAUCCUGUCUCUUCUGAUGCAAUCUCAUCUUCAUCAUAAAUAAUAUCUUCUGGAUUUGGUGGUGCUGGACAAAAUUCCUCUGUAGGAAACAUUUCCUGGAAAAUAGUCUCGGCCUGUUUGACAGCACAGUCAUUUCCUAAAGCUGAGUCUGGGCCGGAACAGACAUACACAUUUGAGGGUAAGCCACUGUAUGAAUUUCUGUCAAUUCCUGAAGAAUCUCUCAUGUUAAAAUAUAGUGCCCAGAGGACUCUAGGCUUUUCCAGUACUUCAUCUUCAGUUUCUUUUUCUGUUUCAGCAUUUAAACUGAAUAACUUCUGUACAACAGGCUCUAAAUCUUCCCUCGCAGUUUUUGUUG
rnacentral:lncRNA from 1 species